rnacentral:rRNA from 1 species
GACGAACGCUGGCGGCGUGCUUAACACAUGCAAGUCGAACGGAAAGGCCCCAGCUUGCUGGAGUACUCGAGUGGCGAACGGGUGAGUAACACGUGGGUUAUCUGUCCUGCACUCUGGGAUAAGCCUGGGAAACUUGGUCUAAUACUGGAUAUGAUCUUUCGCCUUUUGGUGUGUGGUGGAAAGUUUUUCGGUGUAGUAUGAGCCCGCGGCCUAUCAGCUUGUUGGUGGGGUGAUGGCCUACCAAAGCGACGACGGGUAGCCGGCCUGAGAGGGUGAUCGGCCACGUUGGGCCUGGGAUACGGCCCAGACCCCAACGGGAGGCAGCAGUGGAGAAUAUAGUACAAUGGGCGGAAGCAUAAUGCAGCGACGCCGCGUGAGGGAUGACGGCAUUCGGGUUGUAAACCAAUUUCCGCUGGGACGAAGCGUAAGUGACGGUACCUGCAGAAGAAGCACCGGCUAACUAUGUG